CCCCCAUGUUUACCUCAAUGGAACCUGAAGACCACUACCCCGUCAUUCCCUCAAAAGAUGGCACAGAUUUGGAAAGUUGUGGAAUUCCAAGACCGGAGUGCAGCAGUUGUGUCGUCCAGCUGGGUGGUAGAUGUUGACGGAGAAGUGGGAUGCUACUGGCCACCCUUUGGCGGAAACAAAGCUGUGAAGGCCGCCAUGAACUGCACCCCCCCGGGACAAGGAUGGCGAUUCCAUCAAAAAAUAAGGGUGCUGGCAACCUGUGGCACCUUUGCCAAAGCAAGACGUUACCUGACCCGAUUG